AGAGUUUGAUCCUGGCUCAGAAUCAACGCUGGCGGCGUGCCUAACACAUGCAAGUCGAGCGAGAAAGGGGGGGCAACUCCCUGAGUAAAGCGGCGCACGGGUGAGUAACACGUGGGUAAUCUGCCCUGGAGUGGGGAAUAACACCGGGAAACCGGUGCUAAUACCGCAUACGAUAGUGAGGUCUGCGGACUUUGCUAUGAAAGGAGCAAUUCGCUCUAGGAGGAGCCCGCGGCUGAUUAGCUAGUUGGUGAGGUAACGGCUCACCAAGGCUACGAUCAGUAUCCGGUCUGAGAGGACGGUCGGACACACUGGAACUGAGACACGGUCCAGACUCCUACGGGAGGCAGCAGUGGGGAAUUUUUGGCAAUGGGGGCAACCCUGACCAAGCAACGCCGCGUGGGUGAUGAAGUCUCUUGGGACGUAAAACCCUUUCGACGGGGAAGAAAACCGCAAGGUUUGACGGUACCCGUAGAAGAAGCCCCGGCUAACUCCGUGCCAGCAGCCGCGGUAAUACGGGGGGGGCAAGCGUUGUUCGGAAUUACUGGGCGUAAAGGGCGCGUAGGCGGUCCGCUAAGUUGGAUGUGAAAACUCUGGGCUUAACCCAGAGCCUGCAUUCAAAACUGACGGGCUAGAGUUCUGGAGGGGGUAGCGGAAUUCCUGGUGUAGCGGUGAAAUGCGUAGAUAUCAGGAGGAACACCGGUGGCGAAGGCGGCUACCUGGACAGAAACUGACGCUGAGGCGCGAAAGCUAGGGGACAACAGGAUUAGAUACCCUAGUAGUCC
rnacentral:rRNA from 1 species